AAAUGCGAUAAGUAAUGUGAAUUGCAGAAUUCAGUGAAUCAUCGAAUCUUUGAACGCACAUUGCGCCCGCCAGUAUUCUGGCGGGCAUGCCUGUUCGAGCGUCAUUACAACCCUCAGGCCCCCGGGCCUGGCGUUGGGGAUCGGCGGAAGCCCCCUGCGGGCACAACGCCGUCCCCCAAAUACAGUGGCGGUCCCGCCGCAGCUUCCAUUGCGUAGUAGCUAACACCUCGCAACUGGAGAGCGGCGCGGCCACGCCGUAAAACACCCAACUUCUGAAUGUUGACCUCGAAUCAGGUAGGUAUACCCGCUGAACUUAAGC
rnacentral:misc_RNA from 1 species